UCGAAACACUGGUUUUCCUACGAUCACCAAAGUUAAGUAAUGUGGAGCCUGGUUAGUACCAAGCUGGGUGACCUCUUGGGAAUACCAGG